rnacentral:rRNA from 1 species
AACGAACGCUGGCGGCAUGCCUAACACAUGCAAGUCGAACGAGACCUUCGGGUCUAGUGGCGCACGGGUGCGUAACGCGUGGGAACCUGCCCUUAGGUUCGGAAUAACUCCCCGAAAGGGGGGCUAAUACCGGAUAAUGUCUGCGGACCAAAGAUUUAUCGCCUUUGGAUGGGCCCGCGUUGGUUUAGCUAGUUGGUAGGGUAAAAGCCUACCAAGGCGACGAUCCAUAGCUGGUCUGAGAGGAUGAUCAGCCACACUGGGACUGAGACACGGCCCAGACUCCUACGGGAGGCAGCAGUGGGUAAUAUUGGAAAAUGGGCGAAAGCAUGAUCCAGCAAUGCCGGGUGAGUGAUGAAGGCCUUAGGGUUGUAAAGCUCUUUUACCCGGGAUGAUAAUGACAGUACCGGGAGAAUAAGCACCGGCUAACUCCGUG